CUCUCUGCCCCUGAAGGAAGAGCUGCCCCUGGGCUUUGCUGGAAGGAUGCUUCUGGCAGUGAUGAUUUGCAGAGCUCUCAAGAGCUCUUUUCAUAAGCUGAUCACUUGCUUUUGAAACCUGAGGAUGGGAAAAACCCCAACAAGAGCAAAGCAGCCAAACCCCCUCCUUCUGUGUCUUUUUGUUCUCCAAAGAGUGGGAAAAGAAGUGACUUGGCCAAAGGUAGGGAGCACAGUCAGGCUGUGCUAAACGGUUGACCCUCUGUUGCUUUACUCUCUAAUGCUCAAGUGAGGACACAAAGCAGCUCCUCCUCUUGCUCAGCCUGCAGCUGGCAGCUGUCUGUGCAGCAUGGCUGUUCCCAGGCUUGACACCUGUGCAAGUUCAAUGAGCAGCUUGCAAGGGCAGAGGAGCAUCCCCACUGGUGCACCUGGGCAGGUCUGGAGGGAGCUGGCAGCUCCCAUUCUGCAGAACCAUUUCACUAACGUUUUGUCUUCACAGGAUCAAUUCCUCUUGUCUGAAGUGAGCCCUUCUCAGGCCCACAACAGCCUCUACAGAUGGGGACAGAGAAUGAAAGUGACCCUCAAGCAAAGCAAGCACCCCGGACAGAAGUGUUCACUAGAGACACCUUAGGAUUUCACGUGACAACUGUAAUAACAUACAGAGAAACUCACCCUCCUCUGACUCGACUGCUCAGGCGUCUGGUGUCCUUCUUUGAUCCUACUGAUGAACCUCCUUCUGACAACUGAGUGCUCCAGCAGCUCAUCAGGACCUUGUGCCAGAGUGGCUGCUCCAAGGAGGUGGUGCUGGCAUGUGGCACCAGCCCACUGGUGGAAAGCUUCCUUUUGGCAUUGCUGAAACAGCAGCUUCAUCUCUGGCCUUGCAGAACUUCCACACCUCCUCUGCUUGGGCCACUGCUGUUCUUUGGACGUGCAGUCAAACUGCCACACGUGAGCUGAGUUUGAGCUGGUGUUGAUGGAGCUGUGCACUGCCUGGUGUCUCCUGUCCAACAGGGCGACCCUGGUGGCUGUGGUGGGUUGUUAUGAAGUCGAUUUUCCAGCUGGCAUGAGUCAGGAUGUACCAGAAGAGCUCCUCCACUGGCCAGCUCUGAAACAGCUAGGUGCAGACUGAUUAAAAGCCAGGGAAGGGAGGUAGCUUAACCUCCUGGGUAUGAGAGCUGCUGAUUGUCCUUCAAAUAAAAGCUUACCAGAGGUUAAA